UUUUUUUUUUUUUUUUUUUUUUUUUUUUUUUUUUUUAUGAU
rnacentral:ribozyme from 1 species